UUGAAAGGGAAACGAUUGAAGUCAGUCGUGCCGGCGCGAAAUCAGCUUGACCGGCGGGAGAUCACGGGCUGUGGCGAGCCUCAAAACCGCCGCAACUUGUGCUCACCUGCCGGCCUCGUGCACUUUCGUGUCGGCUGGUUAACAUCAAUUUCGAUCGUCAUAAAAAGGCUGGAGGGAUGUGGCUCCUUCGGGAGUGUUAUAACCUUUGGCGGAAUGUGGUGGUCGGGAUUGAGGCUUGCAACGAAUACCUCCAGGGCUGUCCCACCUGGCCUCUCGUCGGCAUCCUGGCGACGACAGCUUGCUGACGUUGUUAGGAUCAGCUUUCGAACAGGCUAGAGUGUGAGCAAAUUCGUUAAGGAUGUUGACGUAAGUC
rnacentral:rRNA from 1 species